CCCCUAGUAGCGGCGAGCGAAGCGGGAAGAGCUCAAAUUUAUAAUCUGGCACCUUCGGUGUCCGAGUUGUAAUCUCUAGAAGUGUUUUCCGCGUUGGACCGCACACAAGUCUGUUGGAAUACAGCGGCAUAGUGGUGAAACCCCCGUAUAUGGUGCGGACGCCCAGCGCUUUGUGAUACACUUUCAAUGAGUCGAGUUGUUUGGGAAUGCAGCUCAAAUUGGGUGGUAAAUUCCAUCUAAAGCUAAAUAUUGGCGAGAGACCGAUAGCGAACAAGUACCGUGAGGGAAAGAUGAAAAGCACUUUGGAAAGAGAGUUAACAGUACGUGAAAUUGUUGGAAGGGAAACGCUUGAAGUCAGACUUGCUUGCCGGAGCUUGCUUCGGUUUGCAGGCCAGCAUCAGUUUUCCGGGGUGGAUAAUGACGGUUUGAAGGUAGCAGUCUCGGCUGUGUUAUAGCUUUCCGUUGGAUACGCCCUGGGGGACUGAGGAACGCAGCGUGCUUUUUGCGAAAGACUCGUCUUUUUCACGCUUAGGAUGCUGGUGGAAUGGCUUUAAACGACCCGUCUUGAAACACGGACCAAGGAGUCUAACAUGCUCGCGAGUAUUUGGGUGUCAAACCCGGAUGCGCAAUGAAAGUGAAUGUAGGUGGGAACCGCAAGGUGCACCAUCGACCGAUCUGGAUUUUUUAAGAUGGAUUUGAGUAAGAGCGCGUAUGUUGGGACCCGAAAGAUGGUGAACUAUGCCUGAAUAGGGCGAAGCCAGAGGAAACUCUGGUGGAGGCUCGUAGCGGUUCUGACGUGCAAAUCGAUCGUCAAAUUUGGGUAUAGGGGCGAAAGACUAAUCGAACCAUCUAGUAGCUGGUCUGCGAU
rnacentral:rRNA from 1 species